rnacentral:rRNA from 1 species
UACGUAGGGUGCGAGCGUUGCCCGGAUUUAUUGGGCGUAAAGGGCGCGUAGGCGCUCGGCACGUCCGUUGUGAAAUCGCCCGGCUCAACUGGGCGGGGUCAGCGGAUACGGUCGAGCUUGAGCAAGCUAGGGGGUAAUGGAAUUCCCGGUGUAGUGGUGGAAUGCGUAGAUAUCGGGAGGAACACCAGUGGCGAAGGCGGUUACCUGGGGCUUGCUGACGCUGAUGCGCGAAAGCGUGGGGAGCG